CGACUAGAGUUUGAUCCUGGCUCAGAACGAACGCUGGCGGCGUGCCUAACACAUGCAAGUCGAACGUGAUUAGAGAGCUUGCUCUCUAUGAAAGUGGCGCACGGGUGAGUAACGCGUAGAUAAUCUACCUGAUGAUUCGGGAUAACGACUUCGAAAGGGGUGCUAAUACCGGGAUAAGCCCACGGAGUCCUUGGACUCUGCGGGAAAAGGGGGGGAUCGCAAGACCUUCCGUCAUCAGAUGAGUCUGCGUACCAUUAGCUAGUUGGUAGGGUAAAGGCCUACCAAGGCGACGAUGGUUAGCUGGUCUGAGAGGAUGAUCAGCCACACUGGAACUGAGACACGGUCCAGACUCCUACGGGAGGCAGCAGUGGGGGAAUUUUGCGCAAUGGGGGAAACCCUGACGCAGCAACGCCGCGUGAGUGAUGAAGGCCCUUGGGUCGUAAAGCUCUGACAGAGGGAAAGAAAUGCAGGGGAGCUAAUAUCUCCCUUGCUUGACGGUACCCUCAAAGGAAGCACCGGCUAACUCCGUGCCAGCAGCCGCGGUAA
rnacentral:rRNA from 1 species